CCAAGCUGGAUGUGCUCGUCCUGGCAACCAGUUAUAUUGCCCACCUGACUCACACCUUGGACCAGGACAGAGGGGGACAUGACAGCAGUCUGAUCAGCAGGGGUCCCGGGUAUCUACACCCCAUGAAGAAGUGGCCAAUGAGAGCACGACUGUACGGCGGGGGCCUGGUGGGAGCAGAAGUACAUGGAGGCUGCGUGGCAAACAAAGACUAGUCUUGGCUCUGGGAGUGUCUUGUUUGUAUUUAUUUUACACUCAUUACCCACUGUGUUUAAUUUGUCUAAUAAAAACAUCUUCCGUC